ACUCCCCCUCCGGAGAAUUCCCCGAGAAGGCGGGCGCCGGCUUCGGCCCCGGGAUAGACCUGCGGCGGCGGCGGGAACGGCCACGCACAGGCACCCACAGCCACUUAGGAAGUUGGAGUCCUGGAGAGGAGAACACAGAACGUGGACAACUAGCUGUCAAAUUGCAGUAAAAGUUGGUUCAGGAAAAGUGGAAGCUACCCAGA
rnacentral:lncRNA from 1 species